UUUGAAUGCCAGUAUGUAAUUAAUUUUUAGAUGGCCUGAAUUAUUUUUAUUUCAAUAUUUUAAUAUUUGCGAACUGUUUUAAAAGUGUGACCUCUGAACCGGAACGGAAGACGCACGCGCGGGAGAGAGGGAGAACGUAGAAGAAGAAGGCUAGCGCGGACGGCUAGUCCGAGCUUGAUCUUUAUUCCAUCACAUGGUUAUUAUCUUAUUAUCUUAUUAUCUUUGUCCAGGCUAUAAAACAGGAUUUGAGAUGAUUAAAGUUGUCGGACAGAUAACUACAUUAUCGUUGCUGUGUUGUUUGGACUGUAAACAGACUCUUCACCAGCGUUAGUAGCCUUUCCGGCUACGUUAGCACAGAGUUCACGGGCGCGGCGGUGUUUCAUUGUUCUUCACGCACACGGACUGCGCCGAGUCGCUGGAACAGACGCGAGUUUGCGGAUCGACAGGGAAGAUGAUUAACAUCUGUACGAGCCAAGGUGUGUGACUCCACGCAGGCGUUCACAGACGGAGCUUCGUUUGCGUUCAUCUCCUCCUUCCGGUCUUCCAACUCAGCAGUUGCCUUUGUUUGUGGUGUCUUCCUGCUGCUGAUGUCUGUGACGCUGACUGAUGGACAGCUGCUGCCAGGUGACGUGUGGUCAGUGGGUGACGUAUGGUCAGUGGGGGGGGGCUAAGGUGCAGCAGUGUUAGGAUAUCCUGUCUCUUAUCACUUCCAUUGCACUCCAUUGUUUCUGCGAGCCACCAGGAACUCUCUCCUCCUCCUUUUCCACAUCAACUGCUUUUAUUAUCCACUUUGAAAUAUCACCUGCCAUGACUGUGUGGCACUUGAUCAAGACUGAUGCCUGGGCAUUUUGUUAUGUAAUGUCUGUUCAAUAUCACUACCUGGUGCGUAAUGUUAGCUUUUCCUAUGUAUUGUAAUUAAAUCCAUUAUUCAUGA